rnacentral:snRNA from 1 species
GUGCUCGUUUCAGCAGCACAUAUACUAAAAUUGGAAUGAUACAGAGAAGAUUAGAAUGGCCCCUGCGCAAGGAUGACACGCAAAUUUGUGAAGUGUUCCAUAUUUCA